rnacentral:rRNA from 1 species
ACGGGUGAGUAACACGUAUCCAACCUGCCGUCUACUCUUGACAGCCUUCUGAAAGGAAGAUUAAUACAAGAUGGCAUCAUGAGUCCGCAUGUUCACAUGAUUAAAGGUAUUCCGGUAGACGAUGGGGAUGCGUUCCAUUAGAUAGUAGGCGGGGUAACGGCCCACCUAGUCAACGAUGGAUAGGGGUUCUGAGAGGAAGGUCCCCCACAUUGGAACUGAGACACGGUCCAA